AACGAACGCUGGCGGCAUGCCUAACACAUGCAAGUCGAACGAGACCUUCGGGUCUAGUGGCGCACGGGUGCGUAACGCGUGGGAACCUGCCCUUAGGUUCGGAAUAACUCCCCGAAAGGGGUGCUAAUACCGGAUAAUGUCUUCGGACCAAAGAUCUAUCGCCUCUGGAUGGGCCCGCGUUGGAUUUGCUAGUUGGUAGGGUAAACGCCUACCAAGGCGGCGAUCCAUAGCUGGUGUGUGAGGAUGAUCAGCGACACUGGGACAGGGACAAGGCCCAGACGGCUGGCAGAAGCAGCAGUGGGGAAAAUUGGGGAGGGAGCGAAAGCCUGAACCAGCAAGGGCGCGAGAGUGGUGUAGGGGUUGGAAUUGGAAUGCGCUUUUACCGGGGAGGAUAAUAAGGGAACGGGGAAAAAAGGCUCGGGCAAAUACGUG
rnacentral:rRNA from 1 species